AUUCUACUCCCUCUGUUGCACAAUACAUGCCUUCUAUUUGUCAAAAUAUAUAUGUAUCUAGACAUGUUUUAGUAUAUAGGGACAUCCAUUUUAGGAAAAAUGGAAGUCAAGUAUUUUGGAACGGAGGGAGUACACA
rfam:Triticum aestivum genome assembly, contig: Triticum_aestivum_CS42_TGACv1_scaffold_001078_1AL